rnacentral:rRNA from 1 species
GAGUUUGAUCGUGGCUCAGAUUGAACGCUGGCGGCAUGCCUUACACAUGCAAGUCGAACGGCAGCAUGAUCUAGCUUGCUAGAUUGAUGGCGAGUAGCGAACGGGUGAGUAAUACAUCGGAACGUGCCCUGUAGUGGGGGAUAACUAGUCGAAAGAUUAGCUAAUACCGCAUACGACCUGAGGGUGAAAGUGGGGGACCGCAAGGCCUCAUGCUAUAGGAGCGGCCGAUGUCUGAUUAGCUAGUUGGUGGGGUAAAGGCCCACCAAGGCGACGAUCAGUAGCUGGUCUGAGAGGACGAUCAGCCACACUGGGACUGAGACACGGCCCAGACUCCUACGGGAGGCAGCAGUGGGGAAUUUUGGACAAUGGGCGAAAGCCUGAUCCAGCAAUGCCGCGUGUGUGAAGAAGGCC